rnacentral:rRNA from 1 species
GACGAACGCUGGCGGCGUGCCUAAUACAUGCAAGUAGAACGCUGAAGCUUGGUGCUUGCACCGAGCGGAUGAGUUGCGAACGGGUGAGUAACGCGUAGGUAACCUGCCUCUUAGCGGGGGAUAACUAUUGGAAACGAUAGCUAAUACCGCAUAAAAGUCGAUAUCGCAUGAUAUUGAUUUGAAAGGUGCAAUUGCAUCACUAAGAGAUGGACCUGCGUUGUAUUAGCUAGUUGGUGAGGUAACGGCUCACCAAGGCGACGAUACAUAGCCGACCUGAGAGGGUGAUCGGCCACACUGGGACUGAGACACGGCCCAGACUCCUACGGGAGGCAGCAGUAGGGAAUCUUCGGCAAUGGGGGCAACCCUGACCGAGCAACGCCGCGUGAGUGAAGAAGGUUUUCGGAUCGUAAAGCUCUGUUGUAAGAGAAGAACGAGUGUGAGAGUGGAAAGUUCACACUGUGACGGUAACUUACCAGAAAGGGACGGCUAACUACGUGCCAGCAGCCGCGGUAAUACGUAGGUCCCGAGCGUUAUCCGGAUUUAUUGGGCGUAAAGCGAGCGCAGGCGGUUAGAUAAGUCUGAAGUUAAAGGCUGUGGCUUAACCAUAGUACGCUUUGGAAACUGUUUAACUUGAGUGCAGAAGGGGAGAGUGGAAUUCCAUGUGUAGCGGUGAAAUGCGUAGAUAUAUGGAGGAACACCGGUGGCGAAAGCGGCUCUCUGGUCUGUAACUGACGCUGAGGCUCGAAAGCGUGGGGAGCAAACAGG